rnacentral:lncRNA from 1 species
AUUUUAAUAAAGCAACAGUAAUCAAUUUUAGUUUAAUUAUUUUUAGCAAAGGUGCAGUCAGAAUAUUUUUUAAAAUAUUCACGUUAUCACCGAUAACUUUGUAACAAAAAAGAAAAAUGCUAAGUUUAAUUAAUGAAAAUAUUACUAUAUUUAUCAAAUUUAUAAUCAUUUAAUAAAAAUUCUUAUAAUAUCCAACAUCGAAGAAGUAUCCUUAUCACUAAACAAGUUUUAAUUAAGAACUCUUUGUUCUCUUCCAAACCACUCCCUAACCAACCAUACAUCAACAGAGUGGCCGACACAGUUGGAAGCGAAGUUCCAACUUCAAAGAGAAGAUAGAGUAACUAUUUCCAAUAUUCCAUUUAAUUGUCGAUGUUUACAAGGCUGCAUAUUUGCUAUCCCUUUGUUCAUUAGAAAGCUCUCAUUGAUAGCAUGUCACAACAUCAAUGGUUACCAACGCUUAAGGCACCGGUUUGCAUGCUAGCAAUAACGGUGAUUUGUCCAUUUACUUAUGUAAGAUAUAUAUAUAUAUAUUUGUACAUAUAUAUGCAGCAUGAAAUUUUUCGAUAUUCUACUUAUUCCAAUACCCAGUUUUUUGCAAAAGUCUUGCGGCUUAUCUCUGCAUUUUUUAGCAUGCGUGUAUUUUUCCUCAAAUCCCAAUGUCCUCAUCCCAACAUAUUUUGGGAUGAUU